rnacentral:rRNA from 1 species
UACGUAGGGUGUAAGCGUUGUCCGGAAUUAUUGGGCGUAAAGAGCUCGUAGGCGGUUCGUCGCGUCGGCUGUGAAAUCCCGGAGCUCAACUCCGGGUCUGCAGUCGAUACGGGCGGACUCGAGUUCGGCAGGGGAGACUGGAAUUCCUGGUGUAGCGGUGAAAUGCGCAGAUAUCAGGAGGAACACCGGUGGCGAAGGCGGGUCUCUGGGCCGGUACCGACGCUGAGGAGCGAAAGCGUGGGGAGCGAACAGG